UGUGUGUUUAUUGGGUAGGUCUGCAUGG
rnacentral:piRNA from 1 species